GUGCCAGUGUGUGCUGUCCAGCCAAAUCAUGGGCCCAAACCCAGGAAAGGAGUUGAUCCUACCUCUCAAGAAGCUGAUUUUUAGUGAGUCUUUUCUUCUGGAUGUUCAACAACUGAGGUUUGGAGACCAACAAUUGAAGAGACAGAUGGGCUAAGAGAACAGCCAAUAUUUUGACCCUAGCCCUCCAAGGUCAGUGAAGACUCAGGACAUAAGAGAACCUCUG
rnacentral:lncRNA from 1 species